rnacentral:rRNA from 1 species
CUGACUGCUAUCGGAUUGAUACUAAGCCAUGCGAGUCAUUGUAGUAAUACAAGGCAGACGGCUCAGUAACGCGUAGUCAACCUAACCUAUGGACGGGGAUAAUCUCGGGAAACUGAGCAUAAUACCCGAUAGAACAUUAUGCCUGGAAUGGUUUAUGUUCCAAAUGAUUUAUCGCCGUAGGAUGGGACUGCGGCCCAUCAGUUUGUUGGUGAGGUAAUGGCCCACCAAGACUAUUACAGGUACGGGCUCUGAGAGGAGUAGCCCGGAGAUGGGUACUGAGACACGGACCCAGGCCCUAUGGGGCGCAGCAGGCGAGAAAACUUUGCAAUGUGCGAAAGCACGACAAGGUUAAUCCGAGUGGUUUCUGCUAAAGGAACCUUUUGACAGUCCUAGAAACACUGUUGAAUAAGGGGUGGGCAAGUUCUGGUGUCAGCCGCCGCGGUAAAACCAGCACCUCAAGUGGUCAGGAUGAUUAUUGGGCCUAAAGCAUCCGUAGCCGGCUCUGUAAGUUUUCGGUUAAAUCUGUACGCUCAACGUACAGGCUGCCGGGAAUACUGCAGAGCUAGGGAGUGGGAGAGGUAGACGGUACUCGGUAGGAAGGGGUAAAAUCCUUUGAUCUAUUGAUGACCACCUGUGGCGAAGGCGGUCUACCAGAACACGUCCGACGGUGAGGGAUGAAAGCUGGGGGAGCAAACCGGAUUAGAUACCCGGGUAGUCCCAGCUGUAAACCAUGCAAACUCAGUGAUGCAUUGGCUUGUGGCCAAUGCAGUGCUGCAGGGAAGCCCGUUAAGUUUGCCGCCUGGGAAGUACGUACGCAAGUUUGAAACUUAAAGGAAUUGGCGGGG